rnacentral:lncRNA from 1 species
AUUAGAAUAUGAUUUAAUCAAAUUAGAUCAAUUAAGAAUCAGAUUCGAAUCCAGUUCGAAUCAGAUUCGAAUCCAGUUCGAAUCAGGAGCUAAGGUUUGCAACACCUGCUAGGAUGUUUAUCUUGCAAACAUGAUCUAAUCCAAUUAGACCCUUGAUAAGUUUUCUUGUGUGUGACCCAUUGGGUUCCAUACUUAGCCAGCAAUAGGUGUGAGUGCGAGUUGACCCAACUUGAUUAGAACUCUUCUAAUCGAUUUAAGUCCAAACUGCGCGAACCCGAACUUAACAAUUAGAAUCCUUUCAUAUUGGUGAUCGAAUUAAACUCUUUAAUUCGAUCAAACCUAUAAGACAAGAUUGACGUCUAGCAACGUGUCAUGUCUACCCGAAAAAUAUGGAAUUUGGUAGAAAUACCAAAAAUACCCUUCAGUGGUAAGUUACCAUGCAAUUCAAUCCUUUAAUCAAACUGCAUCCCAAAUAUGUAUAUGAGUAUGAAUAUAUGUCAAACUCAAUUUCAUAUUCAUAUUUUUCUUAAUCUUUUAAUGAUAAUUCAAAUA